GAAAGGUAGUUUAAUAAAACAUCUUUUUUGCAUAAAGAAAAUAAAUUAUUUUCCUUACC
rnacentral:tRNA from 1 species